rnacentral:lncRNA from 1 species
GCUCAUCAGGUCUCAGAAUGAAUAUCUAAGUUUCUUUGUUCUGCUCUCUGGGUUCUUCAAAUAAAAUUGAUAAAUAUUCUACUUUAGCCUGUCAUAUUCUCUCCAAAAUGAAUCAGUGGUGCUUAGUCACUUACUUCCACACUCUUUACAAACCACAGGAAAAAACAAUGAUAAGAAACAGGGAGACAGACUUUAUGGAGAUGAUUAGGGGGCCUGAGGAUAGAGGACAUUCCAGGGAGGUAAGGGGGAAGAGGGGAAGUGAAAAGGAUCAAGAUGUAAUAUAUAUAUCUAUCUCCCAUAGUAAAUAUAUUCACUCAUUAUGCAUCAUAAACAUAUAAAUAAAAUAUUUAAAUUAAGUACCAUUUAUAUUUCAUAAACCACACCAUCUCUUCCAUCAGUGUUCCAUUCUAGCUCAUGUAACAUGAAGAUCUCAAUGAUGGGCCUUCAAGAACAUAGCAGGAGGCCUGCACCAGAACACGUCCCCAUAGAUGCCAGAAGCCAUGCUGGACCCAGCUGUGAGGGCUGUGCAGUAUCUGAAUCUGCAUGGCAGAGGCACCAGGGGGAACAUAAAAGACAUGGUUAUGAGUGCCAGAAGAUAGAGCAGAAGUGAACAACAGAGAGGACCUCUCUGAUGCUCCUCAGUGAAAAUUGAAGCCCACUGUGAAAGUGAAGAAAAUCUCUUCAAUAAAAGCACACUGGACCAUCAUGAUUGGUGGAACAACAUUAAUUUCAGUCAGUCUUAUGAGCUGGAAAAACAUGAAGAUCACUCAGCUCUCCCCUCUUCUUUAUGACCAUUUACUCUGUUGAACAAGAACUCAAUAAAUUCUCAUUACAUGGGUGGAUAUGGCUCCAUUUUUUUUGUGAAACAGUUCUGAAGAUAAUUUAAAUUAAAGUCACUUCUAGGAUGUUUCCAAUCCAUUACUGUUUCAGCUAGUAAAUAAAUUUCAAACCAUGGAAAGAGCAACAUAGUUGGAUUAUAUGUUAUUGAAAUCACUUUAAAAUCUGUGUAUUGUCAUAAAGAUGUUUUAGAUAUUACAUAUAUCUCAUAUAAUAAGGAAGCUUAAAGAAGAUGGAAUUGUGAAAGUGC